GCCGAUAUAGCUCAUAUAAUAGGCAGAGCAGCGCAUUCGUAAUGCGAAGGAUAUAGGUUCAAAUCCUAUUAUCGGCA
rnacentral:tRNA from 1 species